rnacentral:rRNA from 1 species
UGGCCUACGGGGGGCAGCAGUGGGGAAUAUUGCACAGUGGGGGAAACCCUGAUGCAGCAACGCCGCGUGAGUGAAGAAGGUUUUCGGAUUGUAAAGCUCUGUUAGCAGGGAAGAGGAAGGACGGUACCUGCAGAGGAAGCCACGGCUAACUACGUGCCAGCAGCCGCGGUAAUACGUAGGGAGCAAGCGUUGUCCGGAAUUACUGGGCGUAAAGGGCGCGUAGGUGGGCGCUUAAGUCAGGUGUGAAAACUCCGGGCUCAACCUGGAGACUGCACUUGAAACUGGGUGUCUUGAGGGCAGGAGAG